rnacentral:rRNA from 1 species
GACGAACGCUGGCGGCGUGCUUAACACAUGCAAGUCGAACGCUGAAGCUCAGCUUUUGUUGGGUGGAUGAGUGGCGAACGGGUGAGUAACACGUGAGUAACCUGCCCCCUUCUUUGGGAUAACGCCCGGAAACGGGUGCUAAUACUGGAUAUUCACUUGCCUUCGCAUGGGGGUUGGUGGAAAGGGUUUUUUCUGGUGGGGGAUGGGCUCGCGGCCUAUCAGCUUGUUGGUGGGGUGAUGGCCUACCAAGGCUUUGACGGGUAGCCGGCCUGAGAGGGUGACCGGUCACAUUGGGACUGAGAUACGGCCCAGACUCCUACGGGAGGCAGCAGUGGGGAAUAUUGCACAAUGGGCGAAAGCCUGAUGCAGCGACGCCGCGUGAGGGAUGGAGGCCUUCGGGUUGUAAACCUCUUUCGCUCAUGGUCAAGCCGCAGCUUUGGGUUGUGGUGAGGGUAGUGGGUAAAGAAGCGCCGGCUAACUACGUGCCAGCAGCCGCGGUAAUACGUAGGGCGCGAGCGUUGUCCGGAAUUAUUGGGCGUAAAGGGCUUGUAGGCGGUUGGUCGCGUCUGCCGUGAAAUCCUCUGGCUUAACUGGGGGCGUGCGGUGGGUACGGGCUGACUUGAGUGCGGUAGGGGAGACUGGAACUCCUGGUGUAGCGGUGGAAUGCGCAGAUAUCAGGAAGAACACCGGUGGCGAAGGCGGGUCUCUGGGCCGUUACUGACGCUGAGGAGCGAAAGCGUGGGGAGCGAACAGGAUUAUAUACCCUGGUAGUCCAAGGGCGAAUUCCACAGUGGGAUAUCAAGCUUAUCGAUACCGUCGACCUAGAGGUUGGAACACGAUUCCCAGCUUUUGUUCCCUUUAGUGAGGUUUAAUUC